UGCAGCACAGCUGCUAAAUUCUGAAAUUGGAAACACUAUAGAGAAGAUUAGCAUGGCUCCUGCACAAGGAUGACAUGCAAACUCGUGAAGCAUUCCAUAUUUUU
ensembl:snRNA U6 U6 spliceosomal RNA